rnacentral:rRNA from 1 species
AACGCGAAGAACCUUACCUGGGCUUGAACCGCACAGGACCAGCUCUAGAAAUAGAGCCUUCCCGCAAGGGACCUGUGUAGAGGUGCUGCAUGGCUGUCGUCAGCUCGUGCCGUGAGGUGUUGGGUUAAGUCCCGCAACGAGCGCAACCCUUACUCGUAGUUGCCACCCGCAAGGGGGAACUCUACGAGGACUGCUCCGGAUAACGGAGAGGAAGGUGGGGAUGAGGUCAAGUCAGCAUGGCCUUUAUGUCCAGGGCGACACACGUGUUACAAUGCGCGCCACAAUGCGUCGCGAACCCGCGAGGGGGAGCUAAUCGCAAAAAAGCGCGCUCAGUUCGGAUUGCAGUCUGCAACUCGACUGCAUGAAGCUGGAAUCGCUAGUAAUGGCGUAUCAGAACGACGCCGUGAAUACGUUCCCGGGUCUUGUACACACGC